AUCAGAACUGCGCAUUCAUCUGGCUUUGAUGUGGAACCGAAUGUCUCGCUCUUGCCUCAUACGACUCGUGGAUCAAGUGGCUCACUGUGUGAGAGGGAUGCCUAAUUCCUGGAUUCUGAUCGUGCUUACGUAUGGCAAAGUUACCUACCUUCUCAAACUUAUCAAGACCCUGCAGGUGACUCCUGAGCCUUCUGUGUGAUGUGUUCUCUGUGGCUGUGGUGUUUUGAAAACAAAAC